CACAUCACGUUAAAAAACCGGUACCCGUAAGGUCACCGACGUUAAGCAUCGUCGAACCUGGUCAGUAGCUAGAUGGGUGGCCGCUUGGGAAUAACCGGGUGCUGUAAG